GAUGAACGCUGGCGGCGUGCUUAACACAUGCAAGUCGAACGGUGAAGGCGGAGCUUGCUCUGCUGGAUCAGUGGCGAACGGGUGAGUAACACGUGAGCAAUCUGCCCCUGACUCUGGGAUAAGCGCUGGAAACGGCGUCUAAUACUGGAUACGAGCUGCGAAGGCAUCUUCAGCAGCUGGAAAGAAUUUCGGUCAGGGAUGAGCUCGCGGCCUAUCAGCUUGUUGGUGAGGUAAUGGCUCACCAAGGCGUCGACGGGUAGCCGGCCUGAGAGGGUGACCGGCCACACUGGGACUGAGCCACGGCCCAGACUCCUACGGGAGGCAGCAGUGGGGAAUAUUGCACAAUGGGCGAAAGCCUGAUGCAGCAACGCCGCGUGGGGGAAGACGGCCUUCGGGUUGUAAACCUCUUUUAGCAGGGAAGAAGCGAAAGUGACGGUACCUGCAGAAAAAGCGCCGGCUAACUACGUG
rnacentral:rRNA from 1 species